GUCUGGGAAACGCACGGAAUCGGUCUUUUCCCCGGUUUUUUUCCCUUCCUCCCCGUCUUUUUUUACACCUAAUCCACCGUGAUGGAAACGUAAAACGUUAUUUUACGGUCGACACCGGACGGCCCGCGAAGACGACGGACCGAACGAAAUGGAACGCCGUCGUCGUUAUUGGCGUUUUUUUGAUGCGCAGUGCUCAUCUCCCUCUCGCUCUCCGUACGCUA